UGGAAGAUGAACCGAAGCUG
rnacentral:misc_RNA from 1 species